GACAGCAGUAGCCACGGUAAUACAGAGGAUGCAAGCGUUAUCCGGAAUGAUUGGGCGUAAAGUGUCUAUAGGUGGCUUUUCAAGUCCGCCGUCAAAUCCCAGGGCUCAACCGGGGAGGGUCAUUGGAAACUGGGAAACUUGAGUGCAGAAGAGGAGAGUGGAAUUCCACGUGUAGCGGUGAAAUGCGUAGAGAUGUGGAGGAACACCAGUGGCGAAGGCGACUCUCUGGUCUGUAACUGACGCUGAGGAGCGAAAGCGUGGGGAGCGAACAGGAUUAGAUACCCGCGUAGUCCCUGUCUCUUAUAC
rnacentral:rRNA from 1 species